CCCCUGCCCUGCGCCGCUGUGCCUGCCCCCGCCCGCCGGCGGCGACUCGCCCCAAUCCCGGCCCGCCUUCCGCCUGCCCCGGCCCGCUGCCGGCAAUCGGCCAGCCCCAUGCCGCGUCCUCCUGCCCCAUCCCACCGCCGGCGACCCGCACCUGCCCCGUGCCGACCCGCCCCUGACCCGUGCUACCAUCGGGUUCUUGGUGAUGCCAGCUGGCAUGCGGAGCGUGGUCCAGAGCGUGACACCUUUGACCAAAACAAAUAUUUGCAUGUAUAUAUAGAGUUUUAUGGAUUUGUACUGAUUCACUAGCUAAUAAGUUGCACGUUCGGCCCCUU